AUGGCCUGCUCGUCUCCCUUGCCGGUGAAGUCGAUAGGCUUAAUCGUAGAGCAGGAAUUAUUGGCAUAUGGAGCAAUGGUAUCUCGUGUGACCAUGUUCUGUGCAAAUAUGCAAAAUAGAAUAAUAGAUAUUCUCUUGAAUGAAAUAUAUUGGUCAAAAGAAUAUUAUCUGGAUAGAUCAAAGGUUUUAGUUAGGAAGGCAUGUAUACUCCAUGCGUCUGGGGUGCAAAACAUAAACAGCUGUCUAGAGUCCUUUUCUGAAGCCAUACCUUUACUGCGAGGCAUCUUACUGGAUUCAUCUCGAAGCAAUGCAAUUGUGAUCCAUGAAUUGGUUAUUGCAUACUGCCUGCAUGCUCAUUGUGCCCACUGCCCAGGAAGCCAAUCAUGGCGGCAAGGUAAUCCUUGA
rnacentral:rRNA from 1 species